rnacentral:rRNA from 1 species
GACGAACGCUGGCGGCGUGCUUAACACAUGCAAGUCGAACGGUAAGGCCCCUCGGGGUACACGAGUGGCGAACGGGUGAGUAACACGUGGGUGAUCUGCCCUGCACUUCGGGAUAAGCCUGGGAAACUGGGUCUAAUACCGGAUAGGACCACUGCCUGCAUGGGUGGUGGUGGAAAGCUUUUGCGGUGUGGGAUGGGCCCGCGGCCUAUCAGCUUGGUGGUGGGGUGAUGGCCUACCAAGGCGACGACGGGUAGCCGGCCUGGGAGGGGGACCGGCCAAACUGGGACCGGGGUACGGCCCCGACUCCUACGGGAGGCAGGAGGGGGGAAUAUUGCACAAUGGGCGCAAGCCUGAUGCAGCGGCGCCGCGUGAGGGAUGGCGGCCUUCGGGUUGUAAACCUCUUUCAGCACCGACGAAGCGCAAGUGACGGUAGGUGCAGAAGAAGGACCGGCCAACUACGUGCCAGCAGCCGCCGUAA